UGUCCAGACUCCUACGGGAGGCAGCAGUGGGGAAUAUUGCACAAUGGGGGAAACCCUGAUGCAGCGACGCCGCGUGAGUGAAGAAGUAUUUCGGUAUGUAAAGCUCUAUCAGCAGGAACGAGACAAGACGGUACCUGACUAAGAAGCCCCGGCUAACUACGUGCCAGCAGCCGCGGUAAUACGUAGGGGGCAAGCGUUAUCCGGAUUUACUGGGUGUAAAGGGAGCGUAGACGGUUACGCAAGUCUGAAGUGAAAUGCCGGGGCUUAACCCCGGAACUGCUUUGGAAACUGUGCAGCUAGAGUGCAGGAGAGGUAAGUGGAAUUCCUAGUGUAGCGGUGAAAUGCGUAGAUAUUAGGAGGAACACCGGUGGCGAAGGCGGCCUGCUGGACUGUGACUGACGUUGAGGCCCGAAGGCGUGGGGAGCAAACAGGAUUAGAUACCCCUGUACA
rnacentral:rRNA from 1 species